CUGACAGGCAUGGGAUCAAGGAAGGUUCUAGUCCAGGACUGUUAUACCAUAAUUCCUAUUUUUAUGAUAAGUAAUGUUCUUUAAGAAAUUCUUUGAAGUGCUUUAAAUGGGAGAUAGAAUCAGAUACAUUUUGUAUUUCUUUGCCACAGUAUCCCUUGCAGUCAUUUUCUAUGGACUAGUUUGCAUUUGAUAGGAUCUUGCCAGAUCUCCAUUGCAUUUCACUUUGCCCUGCAAGGAGACUAGGUGGUGGGACAGGUUUCCUGUUUUGUUAUUUCAGCAAUAAUGGGUUUUUAUUCUUCAGGUCCAUGAUGAGACGGGGUGGAUUUGGGUUAUUAGGAGUUGAGAUAGGAUCCUACUUGGAUCAUAAAAACCUGUCUUGAACCCUCCAUAUUGCCAUCUCAGUUUGAAGUCUAGAGAUAGAACUUGUAUGUUAUAUUCAUGUUUUAUUUUUGGGACUUGUUUUAGCAUUAUUAUAAACAAUCAAUUUCUAUUACGUUUCAUGCACAUUACAUGGCAUAAGAACUCAUAAAUCAUAAUUGAUGCACUGAAUUUGACUGAGUCGGUUCCUUUGGACCAUUUCCUCAUACUCAGUCCUGUUUAUUGGAUUUUAUUCUGAUUCAAUUUUCCAACUGAUAUCUUGAAGCUGGAAAUUUUAUGU